CCUGGGUGGAGAGAGGCACUGUGAGAGUAAAGUGUCUUGCUCAAGAACACGACACAAUGUCCCCGGCCAGGGUUCUAACCCGGACCGUGCAAUCUCGAGGCGAGUGUGCUAGCUAUUGGGCCAUCGCACCUCCACGAGAAGAAAGAUGACAGCUGCCUUUCUCAUUCAACCACCCCGCUUAACCGUAACGGUGACAAAAUGAUUGCGAAUCGGUUAACUAGCUGUGCAUUGUUUUCAAUUCCAGGUUGUCAGAUAACAAAUGCAUCAUCGAAUAUAUCGAUACAGUUUUAUCUUGAGGCCAGUUAUUUGCAUCAAGAAAACGGAGCUUCUGUUUCGGAACUGACUGGCAUUCCACUGUAGACGGGAACAACGUUAGGGACAAAAAGUGUGUUGGUGUCCCGUCUUGGAUAAAGGCCCACCCGAUUUGAUCUGAAGGCCCAUAUUCGGCCCAUGGACAUUGCGGGAGAGUAAUGCCCUAGUGUUAGCCAAUCAAGGCGCGCGUUAUAUCGGCUACAAACGCUAGUCAUAUAAUGAAGAUUUAACUCCGUGCUUUGAAUACAAAUCAUGCUAGCGUACACUUUGGCAAGUACCACUUCCUUAUUUCGAAACGUGUGUGGAAUAUCAAGUGCUCACAAGAUAACACUGUAUAGUGUCUACAGACAAACGUGUCUUCAAUAUAGUCGGACAUGAUCCGGUAAUCCCGCUUUAUUGAUUACGUUAGCAUGGCUAGGUGCACUAUCGUCCCAUAGCUUAAUUAACGAUUUAUAUGAAAAAAAAAAGAAAAGAAAACCGUGACGUACCUUGAUCAAAGGAAACCAGUCGAUUGUAAUAAUGGUUUGAAUUUGAAGAACAGUAGUUGCUAUGUGAAAUGACAGAAAUCCAUAAGGAAGGAAGAAUCAUUUUUAUUUCAAGAAAGAGAACGAACUUUCAAAACAUUUUCUCCUGCUUCAAGUAGUUUCGAGAGGGUCUUUGGAAGACGAGGAAAGCUGUAAAAACGUGAGCCGUAGGCGAGUGUUUUCACAGCUUUUUCUAGUUGUCCCACUAGCGAGUGCUGAUAUGGAAACCAAACAAGGGAAGUUUUCGUUCUAUCCAAGGAAGUUGAGUAAGGAGUAACGAUGCAAUGCCGUAGAAACAUCAGCCGUGGGCGAGAUUUUUCAUGAUUUUAUCGAAAUCAAACAAAGGAAGGUUCCUUUCUAUCCAAGGAAAUUGACUGAAGAAGUAACUAUACAGACCAGAGGAAACAUGAGCCAUGAGCGUGUUCCCGUACCUUUUUUGAGUUGUCUCGCAAGAGAAUGUUGCCAUAACUUUAUGAAAACCAAACAAUCCAUGUGAUGUUUUUUUCUUUUUUUCUCGAAGGUAAAAGCGUAUAGGAUGUUUAUAGGAAGCUAUAUAUUGCCGUGGAAAUAUGUUUCGUAGUCUAGCCUUCCUAAAGCUGUUUUGGUUUCUACCGAACAGCCACUUUAUGGAGAGUAAAGGAAAGAACCUUUUUCCUAGGAAGAGGUAGAAAGGAUAUUCUGUGAAAACGAGAAAAACUAAGUGGGCAUAGGAACGUAGGCGAGUUUUUCGACACCUGCAUUUUGCGAGUGUGUUCUCCCACACGGAAAUUGUAUCUAGUUAUAUUGUCGUUGUAUCCAGGGAAAACCAGAGGAAGUAGAAUGUGCAAUUCAAAAUUACAAACUGAUACAAUGUUGUGCAAGCAUGAACCGUAGGCGCGUAUUCGUAUAGCUGUUGUCCCCCGCACAUAAGUGUUUCCGUAAUUCUACAUACGACAUGGGAAACCCUGUAUAUUUCAAAUUCAAUUUGAAAUAUACAGUUACCCAGGAAGUUAAAUAUUAAGCAUUAUUUUUAAAAAAGUAUAAAAAAAUAGAAGCAAGCUGCAAGCACUAACCGUACGCGAGUGUUUCAACAGCUGUAUCGUGUUUUGUCACUUUUUUGUGAGUAUUCCCAUAACGACAGACACACGUUGAAGUUUUCAAGCUCGAUCUCGAACGGAGAAGGAACCGAUUUCAGGAUUCAACUAUAAUACAGAAACAAGCUGCUACUUUGAAACUUUGCAUUAAUUGUGACAGACUUUGAGAUAUCAAUGUUACAAUAUCAAAGUUUCAAUUUGAAUUCGCCCUCGCUUGCUGAAUGACGAUUGAUGGAAUACAUAGGAUUCUUUGCGUUUUAGAUUCUUACAAUGAAAAUUGUCUUCUUCGACAGUUUAAAAACCUUAAAGUUCAGUUAUUUACAAGGAAAUACUUAGAUGAACACGUUUGUAUUGUUUUUACAGCUUGCAUAGCUCAUAAAUAAAUAAUAUUCUUUUUUACUGAUUAUUCAGAGAUACUUGAAUAAAGCUCUCUAUGAAAA